rnacentral:rRNA from 1 species
GACGAACGCUGGCGGCGUGCUUAACACAUGCAAGUCGAACGGUGAAGCGCCUUCCUUUUUGGUGGGUGUGGAUGAGUGGCGAACGGGUGAGUAACACGUGAGUAACCUGCCCCCUUCUUCUGGAUAACCGCAUGAAAGUGUGGCUAAUACGGGAUAUUCUGGGUCUGUCGCAUGAUGGGUCUGGGAAAGAUAUUGUUUCGGUGGGGGAUGGGCUCGCGGCCUAUCAGCUUGUUGGUGGGGUGAUGGCCUACCAAGGCGGUGACGGGUAGCCGGCCUGAGAGGGGGGAGGGGACACAGGGGAAGGGGAACAGGGCCAAGACCCUACGGGAGGGAGCAGUGGGGAAAAUUGGACAAUGGGGGGAAGCCUGAUGCAGGGGCGCCGGGGGGGGGAGGGGGGCCUUUGGGGUGGGAACCUUUUUCGGCAGGGAAGGAGGCCCGCCUCGUGUGGGGGGGGGGUGACGGUAGGUGGAAAAGAGGCGCCGGCUAAAUACG